rnacentral:rRNA from 1 species
GACAGAGGGGGCAAGCGUUGCUCGGAAUUACUGGGCGUAAAGGGCGCGUAGGCGGGAUAGCAAGUCGGUCGUGAAAUCCCUCGGCUCAACCGAGGAACGUCGAUCGAUACUGCUGUUCUUGAGGAUUGCAGAGGAGACUGGAAUUCCCGGUGUAGCGGUGAAAUGUGUAGAGAUCGGGAGGAACACCGGUGGCGAAGGCGGGUCUCUGGGCAAUUCCUGACGCUGAGGCGCGAAAGCGUGGGGAGCAAACGGG